CUCUCUUUAACCUGUGCUGAACCCUUUCUAAAGCAGAGGCACUGACAGACAACCAGAAGACAUGUGCCCGUUAAGUGAUACUUGGAAAGAAGGCAGUUCAACUUCCAGUACUCUCCUGGUGUGUGAGCAUUUAUCCUGAUUGAUGAAACGGAAUAGUGGAGAAGCAGAUGGAAAGGUGCGGCAAUAAUCACAUCAUUACAUCACAGAGGCAGGAAUACGUCAUAGAGUACGGUGGAGAAUACGUCAUAGAGUCUUCCUGCUCGGCACAGUGGCCAUUUGCCUGGACUCAUUCUGCCUUAAUCUGCUAAAAGAGCUGGAGAUAUCCAUGGAUCUAUUAACUGCCAUUUCUUCCAAUUGUUUUAAACAGCAGCCUGCUCCAGAGGAGGCUUACUCUGGAGUGCCUUAGCCCAGCUCCAUCCUGCCUGUCAGAGUGCAUACAGAAGAGAGGCCUUCAAGGAAUAAAAGUAACAGGACAACGGGCAGUACAAUAAAUUGUUCAGGGCA